rnacentral:rRNA from 1 species
AUUGAACGCUGGCGGCAGGCCUAACACAUGCAAGUCGAACGAGUGGCGGACGGGUGAGUAAUGUCUGGGAAACUGACCGAUGGAGGGGGAUAACUACUGGAAACGGUAGCUAAUACCGCAUACCAUCGGAUGAGCCCAGGUGGGAUUAGCUAGUAGGUGGGGUAAUGGCUCACCAAGGCGACGAUCCCUAGCUGGUCUGAGAGGAUGACCAGCCACACUGGAACUGAGACACGGUCCAGACUCCUACGGUAGGCAGCAGUGGGGAAUAGUGCACAAUGGGCGCAAGCCUGAUGCAGCCAGGCCGCGUGUAUGAAGAAGGCCUUCGGGUUGUAAAGUACUUUCAGCGGGGAGGCGUUACUCACAGAAGAAGCACCGGCUAACUCCGUGCCAGCAGCCGCGGUAAUAC